GCCGGCGACCGGCGCACGGGUGAGUAACGCGUAUCCAACCUUCCGUACACUCAGGGAUAGCCUUUCGAAAGAAAGAUUAAUACCUGAUGGUAUGAUGAGAUUGCAUGAUAGCAUCAUUAAAGAUUUAUCGGUGUACGAUGGGGAUGCGUUCCAUUAGGUAGUAGGCGGGGUAACGGCCCACCUAGCCUACGAUGGAUAGGGGUUCUGAGAGGAAGGUCCCCCACAUUGGAACUGAGACACGGUCCAAACUCCUACGGGAGGCAGCAGUGAGGAAUAUUGGUCAAUGGACGAGAGUCUGAACCAGCCAAGUAGCGUGAAGGAUGAAGGUCCUACGGAUUGUAAACUUCUUUUAUAAGGGAAUAAAACCUCCCACGUGUGGGAGCUUGUAUGUACCUUAUGAAUAAGCAUCGGCUAACUCCGUGCCAGCAGCCGCGGUAAUACGGAGGAUGCGAGCGUUAUCCGGAUUUAUUGGGUUUAAAGGGAGCGCAGACGGGUCGUUAAGUCAGCUGUGAAAGUUUGGGGCUCAACCUUAAAAUUGCAGUUGAUACUGGCGUCCUUGAGUGCGGUUGAGGUGUGCGGAAUUCGUGGUGUAGCGGUGAAAUGCUUAGAUAUCACGAAGAACUCCGAUU
rnacentral:rRNA from 1 species